rnacentral:rRNA from 1 species
AGAGUUUGAUCAUGGCUCAGGAUGAACGCUAGCUACAGGCUUAACACAUGCAAGUCGAGGGGAAACGAUAUUGGAAGCUUGCUUUCCGAUAGGCGUCGACCGGCGCACGGGUGAGUAACGCGUAUCCAACCUGCCCACCACUUGGGGAUAACCUUGCGAAAGUAAGACUAAUACCCAAUGACGUCUCUAGAAGACAUCUGAAAGAGAUUAAAGAUUUAUACGGUGAUGGAUGGGGAUGCGUCUGAUUAGCUUGUUGGCGGGGUAACGGCCCACAAGGCUACGAUCAGUAGGGGUUCUGAGAGGAAGGUCCCCCACAUUGGAACUGAGACACGGUCCAAACUCCUACGGGAGGCA